CCACAAUGUGGGCAACCACGAUGGGGGAACUCCAAGUGCUUACACUUUUGUGUAAGCUGUUCUCGAGCCUAAAAAGCUCGAGAAGUAAGGGCCGGGUAAGACGGGUGCCAGCCGCCGCGGUAAUACCCGCGGCCCGAGUGGUGCUCAUUAUUAUUGAGCCUAAAGCGUCCGUAGCUGGCCGGGCAAAUCUCCGGGUAAAUCGGGCCGCUCAACGGUCCGAAUUCCGGAGACACUGCUCGGCUUGGGAUCGGGAGAGGGUGAAGGUACUCCCGGGGUAGGGGUAAAAUCCUGUAAUCCUGGGGGGACCACCAGUGGCGAAGGCGUUCACCUAGAACGAAUCCGACAGUGAGGGACGAAGCCCUAGGGCGCAAACGGG
rnacentral:rRNA from 1 species